GGGGUGGGGGAGCGGGUGGGCGGGGCCAUCGGCGGCGCGCAUGCGCGGUGCGACGCGCGCGGGGGCUGCCGGGAUGUUGGAGGACUCCGUCCGCCGCGGGAAGAGGAGAGCGGAGAGCGGAGAGGGAGCCCCGCCCCCGAAGCGUUCCCUCCCGGAAGCGGUGGCGGCCGCGCGGCUGCGGGCGUUGGGGCUGCACCACGACCACCGAUAUGGCGGAAAUGGGCUGCCCCAGGUCCCCCACCCCCAGACGUCGGCGAUGUCACCCUGAGCCCCCCCCACGCUCUGCCCCACGGCGCUAUGGGGUGCCCCACAACCGCCGCCGUUGAACUGAAGCUGAAAGGAGCCCCCCCACCCCCGACCCCCCCCAGCCCCACAUUUGGGGACCCUGAGCCCCACAGAUGCCACGUGUGGGGCUGGAGGGGUGGGGAAGGGAAAUGUGUGGGGCAGACCCCGAUGUGUGGGGCUGCAGCUGUGCUCUUUUUGCCCCUAAAUUGCUGUUUUUCACCCCAAAAUAAAGGAUAAAUGGGUUUGAG
rnacentral:lncRNA from 1 species